UACGUAGGGUGCAAGCGUCAAUCGGAAUUACUGGGCGUAAAGCGUGCGCAGGCGGUGAUGUAAGACAGAUGUGAAAUCCCCGGGCUCAACCUGGGAACUGCAUUUGUGACUGCAUCGCUGGAGUGCGGCAGAGGGGGAUGGAAUUCCGCGUGUAGCAGUGAAAUGCGUAGAUAUGCGGAGGAACACCGAUGGCGAAGGCAAUCCCCUGGGCCUGCACUGACGCUCAUGCACGAAAGCGUGGGGAGCAAACAGG
rnacentral:rRNA from 1 species